AUCCUAAAUUAUGCCAUUUUCUGUUUUCUCUUACUUUCCUACUUGGAAGAUGAAUUUUAUAAUUGUUGGCAACAAACUCAUCAUAUUUUUUGUUUGGAAUUUCUGGUAAAUAUGUAGCUUUCAAAACAUGUGAGGUAGGCUUUAUAAUUAAUAAGUCUUGGAUUGUACCCUUUCAGGUAAUGUUUUUACACGACUGAUGUUAAGCUUCGUUCAUGUCAAUGACUCAUUACUAUUUGCUUUGGAGAAUAUAGUAUGCAUGUAUUGAUUGUUAAAUUAAGAUUAUUGCAAGUUUGUUCAUAUUCAUAUAGAAUUAAGAAGAGAUCCAUGAAAAGAAGAUGAAGCUAACUUAAUUAGUUUAUUCAGAUAGCAUAAUGCUUUUAAUAUCAAACUUUGGAGCUUCGAAUUGAUUGAUUGUUAAAUUAAGAUUAUUGUAAGUUUGUUCAUAUUCAUAUAGAUGCAGAAACUUUGGAGCUUCGAAUUGAUAGAUGCUUUUAAUCCCUUUUUCUCAUUGUUGAUGUAAGAGCCCCUGAAUCUUAAGAAAUGAGAGGCAUAAAGAGGGAAAGGGAAAUAAUUAGUUAGGGGAAAUAAUUUCAAGUUUCAAUGUUUUUCAUCUCUAUAAGAACAAAGUAAUAAAACUGUUCCAAUUGCAUUCAUUAAAACAUGUUAUUUUAUUUAUUUAUAUGCCAAUUCAUCUCUAUGUGAUUUUAUUUGCUACACUUUAAUAAAUAUUUUAUUUUUGUAGAGCUUUGGGUGAAUAUAAUAAGUCGCGAAGAUUAAGAAAGAACAAGCCCACAUGGAGCAUUCCCAUUUGUCAAAGAUAACCUAAAGGUUAUGAGUGUGGUUACUACAUUAUGAUACAUAUGUUGAACAUUGUAUCUAGUGGUCUUGUUGAUUCAUGGAUGCAGAUAUUUGGAGAAUCAAAACCAUUCAAAGAUGAAGAAAUGAUGAAUGUCCGACAACGUUGUGCAAACUUGAUUCUUGAACUAAUAGAAAAAGCUUGAAGCACUUGUAUCAUUUGAGUAUCUUUAGACUGUUAAUAGAAGAUAAUGUUUUUUUUAACUAGUGAAUAUUAUGUAGCUCUAAAUUUGAUAAUUU